ensembl:lncRNA
GUUUGCGUUCUCUAAAGAUGAGUAACCUUCCUUCUUUAGUCACUCCAAAAUGACAGGAAUAAGGGGGGGAAAGGAAGAGGCAAAAAAACCGCUAAAGAGCCAAAUAGACUAGAUUGUAAACUGCUUGAGGGCAACGAGUCUUUCACUUUCAUUUUUGCAUCCCGGGUGCCUGAUAAGUUAUAGAUGUUUACUAUCUGAUGAUUGGUGAUUUCAUUGACAUUGUGCGAUUAAUUCAUGGAUUAUUUAAUAUCAUUCGUUAUUAAACUACUAAUGUAUUCAAAGCGGGGAUAAUUGAGGUAUCCUCGGGAUGUCAGAAGAAGACUAUCCCAGCACACAGAAAUGGGACCUCUAAGGCAAGCUGACCGUGGCACUGGAAAGACAAGCUGGGAUGGAUCGUGAUCCACAUGAUUAGAGGGAGUUCACAAAUACAUUGGAGUCCCGAGAAUUUAAAUAAAAUCAAGUCAACCGGCAUUUAUUGAGGGGUUAUGUUCAGGCAUUCUGCAAAGCACUGGGAAUUAAAAAAUAAGCUAAAAAAUAGGCAAGCCCCAGUCCUCAAGGAACUUGCUUUCAGUGAUCAGACAAUUGAAGAAAUUCAAGAAAGAUGAAAAAGGGAAGAAAAGAAGCAGUAAAAGAGGGAGGAAAUGAAGAUACCAGAUCUAGAAAAAGGAGUCAGGAGUACAGCCUGAAGAAGAAUGAAGACAUGGCUAGCCUGGGCUUCCUAACAUGAAGGUUCUGGGUAAAACCAGCCAAUCCCAGGAAGAUGUACUAGCAAGAUGGGUACUUACAUUAUGUGAAGUCCAAAGGGGAAUUGAAAUUCCCAGAUGAAAAGAGAAGUAGAGAAAGUGGAAGUAUUUGAGAAUGUGCAAGACCCUCCAACACAAUAAGACAAAGCUAAAAAAGCCAAGGCCAUGGGCAAUUAAUUUAGUCUUUCCUCUCUCUCUCUCUCUUUCUCUCUCUCUCCUUCUCUCUCUCUCUCUCUCUCUCUCUCUCACACACACACACACACACACACACACACACACACACACACAAUGACCUCACUGAGUUAGCAAUUCAGUCUCAGUUUGUUUUGAAAUUUUGUUUCUUCAACGACCAGCAGGAUGAAUACAGAGAGGAUUGGCCAGACUUACAUGAACUGAUGCUGAGUGAAAUGAGCAGAACCAGGAGAUCAUUAUAUACCUCAAUAACGAUACUGUAUGAGGAUGUAUUCUGAUGGAAGUGGAUUUCUUCGACAAAGAGAAGAUCUAACUUAAUUUCAAUUGAUCAAGGAUGGACAGAAGCAGCUACACCCAAAGAAUACUAGGAAAUGAAUGUAAACUGCUUGCAUUUUUGUUCUUCUUCCCGGGUUAUUUAUACCUUCUAAAUCCAAUUCUCCCUGAGCAACAAGAGAACUGUUCAGUUCUGCACACAUAUAUUGUAUCCAAGAUCUACUGUAACCUAUUUAACAUGUAUGACUGCUUGCCAUCUGGAGGGGAGGGAGGGAGGGGAAAAAUUGGAACAGAAGUGAGUGCAAGGGAUAAUGUAAAAAAUUACCCUGGCAUGGGUUCUGUCAAUAAAAAGUUAUUUAAAAAAAAAAUUUUGUUUCUUCUAUACUAUGGAGAAAUAUGAGUUAUAAAAGUGAAUCUAAGAAUCCAGAAGUGUAUUGUACCCAGUGGAAUGACAGAGUAAUCAUUAUUUUUCUAUUUUAUCUUGGCCUUCUUCUGAGUCUUAAUUUUUUUUUCAUUCUAUCCUUCAGAUUCAUAAACUCACUUAUUUGGCUUGUAUUUUUAAAGUUGGAAAAUGGAGGUGCAGCUAGAUGACACAAUGGAUUAAAUGCCAUACCUGGA